rnacentral:hammerhead_ribozyme from 1 species
ACCUUGCUGAAGAAUGUCAAAUAGCACGAAACCCGAGUCCAGGGU